CAGUCGAACGACUCUGGUAUUGAUUGGUGCUUGCAUCAUGAUUUACAUUUGAGUGAGUGGCGAACUGGUGAGUAACACGUGGGAAACCUGCCCAGAAGCGGGGGAUAACACCUGGAAACAGAUGCUAAUACCGCAUAACAACUUGGACCGCAUGGUCCGAGUUUGAAAGAUGGCUUCGGCUAUCACUUUUGGAUGGUCCCGCGGCGUAUUAGCUAGAUGGUGGGGUAACGGCUCACCAUGGCAAUGAUACGUAGCCGACCUGAGAGGGUAAUCGGCCACAUUGGGACUGAGACACGGCCCAAACUCCUACGGGAGGCAGCAGUAGGGAAUCUUCCACAAUGGACGAAAGUCUGAUGGAGCAACGCCGCGUGAGUGAAGAAGGGUUUCGGCUCGUAAAACUCUGUUGUUAAAGAAGAACAUAUCUGAGAGUAACUGUUCAGGUAUUGACGGUAUUUAACCAGAAAGCCACGGCUAACUACGUGCCAGCAGCCGCGGUAAUACGUAGGUGGCAAGCGUUGUCCGGAUUUAUUGGGCGUAAAGCGAGCGCAGGCGGUUUUUUAAGUCUGAUGUGAAAGCCUUCGGCUCAACCGAAGAAGUGCAUCGGAAACUGGGAAACUUGAGUGCAGAAGAGGACAGUGGAACUCCAUGUGUAGCGGUGAAAUGCGUAGAUAUAUGGAAGAACACCAGUGGCGAAGGCGGCUGUCUGGUCUGUAACUGACGCUGAGGCUCGAAAGUAUGGGUAGCAAACAGGAUUAGAUACCCUGGUAGUCCAUACCGUAAACGAUGAAUGCUAAGUGUUGGAGGGUUUCCGCCCUUCAGUGCUGCAGCUAACGCAUUAAGCAUUCCGCCUGGGGAGUACGGCCGCAAGGCUGAAACUCAAAGGAAUUGACGGGGGCCCGCACAAGCGGUGGAGCAUGUGGUUUAAUUCGAAGCUACGCGAAGAACCUUACCAGGUCUUGACAUACUAUGCAAAUCUAAGAGAUUAGACGUUCCCUUCGGGGACAUGGAUACAGGUGGUGCAUGGUUGUCGUCAGCUCGUGUCGUGAGAUGUUGGGUUAAGUCCCGCAACGAGCGCAACCCUUAUUAUCAGUUGCCAGCAUUAAGUUGGGCACUCUGGUGAGACUGCCGGUGACAAACCGGAGGAAGGUGGGGAUGACGUCAAAUCAUCAUGCCCCUUAUGACCUGGGCUACACACGUGCUACAAUGGAUGGUACAACGAGUUGCGAACUCGCGAGAGUAAGCUAAUCUCUUAAAGCCAUUCUCAGUUCGGAUUGUAGGCUGCAACUCGCCUACAUGAAGUCGGAAUCGCUAGUAAUCGCGGAUCAGCAUGCCGCGGUGAAUACGUUCCCGGGCCUUGUACACACCGCCCGUCACACCAUGAGAGUU
rnacentral:rRNA from 1 species